UACGUAGGGGGCAAGCGUUGUCCGGAUUUAUUGGGCGUAAAGAGCGUGUAGGCGGCCUGACAGGUCUGCUGUGAAAACUCGAGGCUCAACCUCGAGAUGUCGGCGGAAACCGUCUGGCUAGAGUCCGGAAGAGGAGAGUGGAAUUCCCGGUGUAGAGGUGAAAUUCGUAGAUAUCGGGAGGAACACCGGUGGCGAAGGCGGCGACCUGGGUAGAUACUGACGCUGAGGUGCGAAAGCGUGGGGAGCAAACAGG
rnacentral:rRNA from 1 species